rnacentral:rRNA from 1 species
UACGUAGGUGGCAAGCGUUGUCCGGAAUUAUUGGGCGUAAAGCGCGCGCAGGCGGUCCUUUAAGUCUGAUGUGAAAGCCCACGGCUCAACCGUGGAGGGUCAUUGGAAACUGGGGGACUUGAGUACAGAAGAGAAGAGUGGAAUUCCACGUGUAGCGGUGAAAUGCGUAGAGAUGUGGAGGAACACCAGUGGCGAAGGCGGCUUCCUGGUCUGCGACUGACGCUGUGGCGCGAAAGCUAGGGGAGCAAACGGG